UAUGUAAAGAAUUAAUAAUCUCCUGUAUAUAUUCAAUUGUACGCUUUAAUAUAAGCUAUUUAAA
rnacentral:tRNA from 1 species